CCUACGGGUGGCAGCAGUGAGGAAUAUUGGUCAAUGGACGAGCGUCUGAACCCGCCAAGUAGCGUGAAGGAUGACUGCCCUAUGGGUUGUAAACUUCUUUUAUAUGGGAAUAAAAUGUUCCACGUGUGGGAUUUUGUAUGUACCAUAUGAAUAAGGAUCGGCUAACUCCGUGCCAGCAGCCGCGGUAAUACGGAGGAUCCGAGCGUUAUCCGGAUUUAUUGGGUUUAAAGGGAGCGUAGGUGGAUUGUUAAGUCAGUUGUGAAAGUUUGCGGCUCAACCGUAAAAUUGCAGUUGAAACUGGCAGUCUUGAGUACAGUAGAGGUGGGCGGAAUUCGUGGUGUAGCGGUGAAAUGCUUAGAUAUCACGAAGAACUCCGAUUGCGAAGGCAGUUCACUGGACUGCAACUGACACUGAGGCUCGAAAGUGUGGGUAUCAAACAGGAUUAGAUACCCCAGUAGUC
rnacentral:rRNA from 1 species